UACGUAGGGUGCGAGCGUUAAUCGGAAUUACUGGGCGUAAAGCGUGCGCAGGCGGUUCGUUGUGUCGGCGGGUGAAAGCCCCGGGCCCAACCUGGGAAUGGCCGUUGAAACUGGCGAACUGGAGUGUGGCAGAGGGGGGUGGAAUUCCGCGUGUAGCAGUGAAAUGCGUAGAGAUGCGGAGGAACACCGAUGGCGAAGGCGGCUUCCUGGACCGGACACCUGACGCUGAGGCGCGGAAAGCUAGGGGAGCAAACGGG
rnacentral:rRNA from 1 species